rnacentral:tRNA from 1 species
UCCCUGGUGGUCCAGUGGUUAGGACUCGGCACUCUCACUGCCGUGGCCUGGGUUCGAUCCCCGGUCAGGGAA